UACAGAGGUCUCAACCGUUGUUCGGAUUCAUUGGGCGUAAAGGGCGCGUAGGCGGUCGCGUAAGCGUGUGGUGAAAGCCCGGGGCUCAACCCCGGGUCGGCCAUGCGAACUGCGGGACUGGAGCAGAUCAGAGGCAGGCGGAAUUCCGGGUGUAGCGGUGGAAUGCGUAGAGAUCCGGAAGAACACCGGUGGCGAAGGCGGCCUGCUGGGAUCUUGCUGACGCUGAAGCGCGACAGCGUGGGGAGCAAACAGG
rnacentral:rRNA from 1 species